UAACAUGUCCUUAAAUCACUCGGGGCCUCCCAGAAACCUGCUCUGUAGCUGAUCAUCAGCCUCCCACACUAGCUUCAUACAGUGCAGCACACUUAGCAUUUUUAACAGUAUUCCGUAUGUAAUAAUAAAGCCUCUCUAUUAAAACAAGAAGUCCCCAAGAGGACAUUUAAUCCUUUCACGGCAGCCAAAUCCUGCCAUGUGUUUGUGUUGCUGUUUUCCCCCUCCGAUUAAACAGUAACAUGUUUAUCGGGAUUUCACUUGAAUUUCACCACUGUGCACUCCCAGAAGGGUGACUGCGGGGUUGCUUCCUCCCCUCCCGUUUGCUGGGCACUGACAAAGGAGCCGGCUCCUCGCCGCCAGCGCAGAAGCGGUGGUGAAGCGCAGCACUCUCCCCUCGGAGCAGGCCCGGAGCACCAGAUGUGGCCGUGUUUUUUCAGGUCCCCUGCAAGCUGCUGGGUACCACCAGGCAGCCUCCUGAGGUGUGAAGAUGCUGGGAUGUGGAAGAGGAGGGACUGAGAGCUGCUGAAGAUGUGGGGUAGCUGAAGCGAGAUGUGACUCAACAACAUAUCAUUCCUAGCUCAUAGGAAGAGGUGAGACACAGCUUAGGCAAGAGGAAAUGCACUUGCAAAAUCAAACACUUCAUAGGAGAAAUGGCCUCUGCACCUCACUUACUAACAUCUCAGUUUUCACCUCUAAUCCAGAAACUGCAGUAGGUAGUAUGAAGCAUUAAUGGUCUUCCCUACUUCUGCUGAUGGUGUCCACCUCUAGGAUAACAUCUGGGCCUCUUGCAGACUUGCUGCUGCUUUGCAGCACUCUCAACCCUCCAAACCUCUGUCUGUUUUCUACACCGAACUUUCCCACUUUGCAUCCUUUCAUAUAUUUUUAUGCAGAAGUUUCUUGUGGGCAGAGAUGCUUACUUGUCUGUUAUAAUUUAUCCACUGUAUGGGUAUCAUGUAGUUAUAUAAAGCAGAGAAGACAGCAACUUCUUUUUCUAACUUUUAAUACAAACCCUUUGUCAAUUUAAAUUCAAGCUCAAUCUAUAAUUAAAAUGGCAUGUUCUAACGUAGAGAAUUUAUAUUGAAUCACAGUGAAAAAUGCAGGAAAAGGAAAUACUAUAAUGACAGCUACCCACAGAGAUUACAGACCCAGACAUACAAGUCUUUUGUCUGUUCCUUGGUUGAGUGUGUGCUUACAGCUUGGUAUUAGCAGGAUUAAUUGAAACUGGGUGGCAAAACCAGAUUAAGGGGGAAUGAUGCAGGAAAAGUUUAGGACUUUCUGCUGUAACAAGGGAUACAUCAUUCCUUGUUAAUGAAUGGCUGGUAACAAAUCCAUACGAAAACAGGCAUUACAUGCUUUUAAAUAGUUCACAAUUGGCCGGGAGGUGCCAAGUGGUGGUUAUCUGAGCUUAGAUUUUGUGGCUCUGCAGCCAAGGCUUCUCCAGGUUUGUGGCAAAAUGACAGCUAACGAUGCAACACCCAGCAACACCUUUACAAGAGGUACUGAAGAGGGACAUCAACAUCAUUUAGAAAGCAGUACUUCAAUUUGGUAUGGAUACUAAAAGUAGGGAAUGGUAGGAAGGGGAGGAGAGGCUGUGUACAACUAGAAUUAGCCCCACAUUUUAUCAAAACCCCGCGUAGUUUCUGAGCAUAUUCAAUAAAGAACUUCUAAUUUUUAUCUGAGAAGGACAUACUGUACAGGUAUAAAAUCUAGCCCCCAGGAAUAUAUUUAUUUCGGAUCCUCAGAGGUGUUGAACAUUCAGUACUGUGCCUUUCAUAAACACACACAAAAAAAAUCGCUACUUCAUGCUCCAUCAGCAGUGCCAGGAACGUAGCGAUGGGUAAUCAAGCUGCAUAUGGUUUGGCUAUAGUAAAAUGUCUGUACCCUGCCUGCACUACAGGUGCAACUCUACUGGAAGAGACAGCCCCACUAGGCUUCAGGGGUUGGAUAAAAUCCUCCUUGGGGAACAUGAGUGUUUGGUAGAAGAGCUUUCCUCAGAUGGCUCCCAUUGGAUCCUCUAACUCAUAUCGUGUGUCUUAAAUGACAGUUACAUUCACUGCAGUGGUGUGCAGUUCUGAGCCACUUGCCUGUUUUCUUCCUGCAAUUUUGAAGCAGUAAUAUUGCAAUUUGAUCAACAGUGCUUCAGUUACAAAUCAAAGGAUGCAUGAGAAAAAUUCUUCAGUUUGGCACUGCAAGAUGGUAACCUUAGACAUGCAAAUUUUGGGCACCAUGCAAUUUUGCCUUAAUUUACUGGCAUUUGGAGGAGGGACAAAGCAUUGACUCUCGUGUGGCAGAAAUGUGACUAACAGCUCAAAAAGUCCUAGUCUAGUUUGUGGUAACAGGAUCUUGAACUCCCUUGGAAACUCACUGGCAAGACAAAUUUACACUGGGGCACAGUGUACCAGUACAGAGGAACAGGAGUGGAGAUGCUCACACGUUAAGGGGCAUGCAAUGCUUGAUUUAUGGAGUGUGCAACUGAGAAAACAAAUAUGAGGUAAUAAAGAAAGGACAAGCCUGCAGCAAUUUGAAUAAUCCUCCCAUUGGGGGAUUUUUUUUUAAUAUGUAUGUGAACUCCAAAUGUGACCUUCAGAGAUAAGAUACCAUAGUAGUCUUGUACAGUAAUCAGUGUAUCAUGGUUAUAAAUGUCACAGACUUGAAAGAACAUUUCCUGUAGUUGAGACUAUUUAAGAAAAUGAAUUUAAUACUGAUUUGAAUUCUGCUUUUUUAAAAGGAGAUCAUGCAAAAGAGUGAAACAGGAAACAUAUUUUAAAACACUUCUAUGCAUCUCUAGCACACUUAGGUGGCCACUGGGCUUGCAUCUCUUUCAAACCUCCUCUCUCUGAUGACAUCAAAGUCACUGCAAGGGAAAUUUAAUCUGGCUGCUGGGUAUUUUCUGCUGAGGCAGAGAUUAUAGGAAACUUUUCAGGCUUGACAAUCUCUGUGCAGAGUUCAGUGUGCUCUCAGGCAGGACCAAAACAAAAUCAUCAGUGCACAAGAGGCUUGCUGUCCCAGCUUUCCUUGCAAAUGUUGGCAGCUCCUUCCUACCACGUCCCAGAGCACGGGGCCAAGGAUGUGCGCACUGUAGGUGUAAGAAGUGGUAAGAAUCGAAGACUGUGUCUGGACUGGCUGUACGUGUUCCAAGUAGGUUGAAAACGUCCAGUUGAAAAGCUUGUCUCUCUCACUGUUGUGCCUUUAUCUAUUUCAAACAGGCUGAAGAAGAGAUGCAUUCAGUGACUGUUUUCACCAGUUUUCUUACACUUAGUGACCACUUCAAAGUUUGGUAAGCAUGCCUAGUUCGUCAGUGAACGGGUAGCUCUAAACAGGGAAUUCCCACACUCCUUAACUAUUAUAUAGCAAUUCAUCUGCAGAAAUCCAGGUGCUUACAGGAAGGAGGGGUUUUUAUCUCACUCCUUUUACUGGGAAAACUGUUGAAGAGGAGCAGCAGCUCAGCCAGGACUCACCCAGCUGGCCAGCGUCAAAGCUGUGUAUAAAUCCCAGGACAAAUUCUUUCUCCCAGAAGCUGCCUCAAAAUAAAUAAUACAGAGAAUUGUGCAAUGUAGUUGGAAACAGUGGCGGCACAUGAGAUGAAAACAGAUAUAACAAACUGAAAUACUGGGAAGUAAUUAGAUUCAAGACAAGAAAACACCAUGAAAGUAUGCGUGAGAUUAAACAGCACCAUGUAGUGAAUAAACUUUACUUUGGCUAGGCCAUAUUUUUAUUAUUAAAACUUACUACCUACA